UACGUAGGGUGCGAGCGUUGCCCGGAUUUAUUGGGCGUAAAGGGCGCGUAGGCGGCUCGGCACGUCCGUUGUGAAAUCGCCCGGCUCAACUGGGCGGGGUCAGCGGAUACGGUCGAGCUUGAGCAAGCUAGGGGGUAAUGGAAUUCCCGGUGUAGUGGUGGAAUGCGUAGAUAUCGGGAAGAACACCGGUGGCGAAGGCGGCUCACUGGCUCAUUACUGACGCUCAGGCGCGACAGCGUGGGGAUCAAACAGG
rnacentral:rRNA from 1 species